AGCUCGACGGCAGCACGGGAGCAAUCCUGGUGGCGAGUGGCGAACGGGUGAGUAAUAUAUCGGAACGUGCCCAGUCGUGGGGGAUAACGUAGCGAAAGCUACGCUAAUACCGCAUACGAUCUAUGGAUGAAAGCGGGGGAUCGCAAGACCUCGCGCGAUUGGAGCGGCCGAUAUCAGAUUAGCUAGUUGGUGGGGUAAAGGCCCACCAAGGCGACGAUCUGUAGCUGGUCUGAGAGGACGACCAGCCACACUGGAACUGAGACACGGUCCAGACUCCUACGGGAGGCAGCAGUGGGGAAUUUUGGACAAUGGGCGCAAGCCUGAUCCAGCAAUGCCGCGUGCAGGAUGAAGGCCUUCGGGUUGUAAACUGCUUUUGUACGGAACGAAACGGCGAGCUCUAAUAAAGUUUGCUAAUGACGGUACCGUAAGAAUAAGCACCGGCUAACUACGUGCCAGCAGCCGCGGUAAUACGUAGGGUGCGAGCGUUAAUCGGAAUUACUGGGCGUAAAGCGUGCGCAGGCGGUUAUAUAAGACAGAUGUGAAAUCCCCGGGCUCAACCUGGGACCUGCAUUUGUGACUGUAUAGCUAGAGUACG
rnacentral:rRNA from 1 species